GGACUACACGGGUAUCUAAUCCCGUUCGCUCCCCACGCUUUCGCUCCUCAGUGUCAGUUACUGCCCAGAGACCCGCCUUCGCCACCGGUGUUCCUCCUGAUAUCUGCGCAUUCCACCGCUACACCAGGAAUUCCAGUCUCCCCUGCAGUACUCCAGUCUGCCCGUAUCGCCCGCACGCCCACAGUUAAGCUGUGGCAUUUCACGAACAACGCGACAAACCACCUACGAGCUCUUUACGCCCAGUAAUUCCGGACAACGCUCGCACCCUACGUAUUACCGCGGCGGCUGGCAC
rnacentral:rRNA from 1 species